UAACUGCCAUCGAAAAUGUGGUGAAAAGCAGU
rnacentral:piRNA from 1 species